rnacentral:miRNA from 1 species
UAUAUAUAUGUUAUUUACCGGCUGCGAGGUCCGGAAAUGGGUCCGGAUGAGAAAAACUGUGCCCGAGGUCUUGAAAACGGCCCGAGCCCGAAGGGCGAGGGACGUUUUCAAGACCGAGGGCACAGUUUUUCUCAUCCGGACCGACGCUGCCGGUAAAUAACGUGUUUAUU